AUUAUUAUGACAGAUUAGUGUGUUAAUUUUAGGAAUUAAUUAAAUAUAAUUUAAUUAUAUUAAUAAUA
rnacentral:tRNA from 1 species